UACGAAGGGGGCUAGCGUUGUUCGGAUUAACUGGGCGUAAAGGGUGCGUAGGCGGGUUUUUAAGUCAGGGGUGAAAUCCCGAGGCUCAACCUCGGAACUGCCUUUGAUACUGGAAAUCUUGAGUCUGGGAGAGGUGAGUGGAACUGCGAGUGUAGAGGUGAAAUUCGUAGAUAUUCGCAAGAACACCGGUGGCGAAGGCGGCUCACUGGCCCGGAACUGACGCUGAGGCACGAAAGCGUGGGGAGCAAACAGGG
rnacentral:rRNA from 1 species